rnacentral:rRNA from 1 species
GGGGAAAGCGGCGAACGGGUGAGUAACACGUGGGUAACCCACCCUUGGUACCGGGAUAGCCCGGGGAAACCCGGAUUAAUACCGGAUGGCCCAACAGCUCUUCGGGGCGGUUGGAAAAGGUAGCUUCGGCCUCCGACCAAGGACGGGCCCGCGGCGGAUUAGCUUGUUGGUGAGGUAACGGCCCACCAAGGCGACGAUCCGUAGCUGGUCUGAGAGGACGAUCAGCCACACUGGGACUGAGACACGGCCCAGACUCCUACGGGAGGCAGCAGUGGGGAAUCUUGCGCAAUGGGCGAAAGCCUGACGCAGCGACGCCGCGUGGGGGAAGAAGGCUUUCGGGUUGUAAACCCCUUUCAGGAAGGACGAAGCUACUCGGGUUAAUAGCCCAGAGGGUGACGGUACUUCCAGAAGAAGCCCCGGCUAACUACGUGCCAGCAGCCGCGGUAAUACGUAGGGGGCAAGCGUUGUCCGGAUUUAUUGGGCGUAAAGAGCGUGUAGGCGGUUUGGUAGGUCCGCUGUGAAAACUCGAGGCUCAACCUCGAGACGCCGGUGGAAACCAUCAGGCUAGAGUCCGGAAGAGGAGAGUGGAAUUCCUGGUGUAGCGGUGAAAUGCGCAGAUAUCAGGAAGAACACCCGUGGCUAAGGCGGCUCUCUAGUACGUGACUGACGCUGAGACGCGAAAGCGUGGGGAGCGAACAGGAUUAGAUACCCUGGUAGUCCACGCUGUAAACGAUGGGUGCUAGGUGUAGGGGGUGUCGACUCCCUCUGUGCCGAAGCUAACGCAUUAGGCACCCCGCCUGGGGAGUACGGCCGC